rnacentral:rRNA from 1 species
CUGGCUAGAGUCCGGAAGAGGAGAGUGGAAUUCCUGGUGUAGCGGUGAAAUGCGCAGAUAUCAGGAAGAACACCCGUGGCUAAGGCGGCUCUCUAGUNCGGUACUGACGCUGAGACGCGAAAGCGUGGGGAGCGAACAGGAUUAGAUACCCUGGUAGUCCACGCCGUAAACGAUGGGUGCUAGGUGUGGGGGGUGUCGACUCCCUCCGUGCCGAAGCUAACGCAUUAAGCACCCCGCC